rnacentral:rRNA from 1 species
AUUGAACGCUGGCGGCAUGCUUUACACAUGCAAGUCGAACGGCAGCACGGGCUUCGGCCUGGGGGCGAGUGGCGGACGGGUGAGUAAUAUAUCGGAACGUACCCGGAAGUGGGGGAUAACGUAGCGAAAGGUACGCUAAUACCGCAUACGACCUGUGGAUGAAAGCGGGGGACCGCCAGACCUUGUGCUCCUGGAUCGGCCGAUGUCUGAUUAGCUAGUUGGUGGGGUAAAGGCUCACCAAGGCGACGAUCAGUAGCUGGUCUGAGAGGACGACCAGCCACACUGGAACUGAGACACGGUCCAGACUCCUACGGGAGGCAGCAGUGGGGAAUUUUGGACAAAGGGCGAAAGCCUGAUCCAGCAAUGCCGCGUGAGUGAAGAAGGCCUUCGGGUUGUAAAGCUCCUUUGUUAGGGAAGAAACGGUAGAGGCUAAUACCCUGCGCUAAUGACGGUACCUGAAGAAUAAGCACCGGCUAACUACGUG